rfam:Rhizobium sp. Leaf453 contig_1, whole genome shotgun sequence.
GCCGCUUUAGCUCAGUUGGUAGAGCACGUCAUUCGUAAUGACGGGGUCACGUGUUCGAGUCACGUAAGCGGCA